rnacentral:rRNA from 1 species
UGGGGAAUUUUGGACAAUGGGGGAAACCCUGAUCCAGCCAUCCCGCGUGUGCGAUGAAGGCCUUCGGGUUGUAAAGCACUUUUGGCAGGAAAGAAACGUCAUGGGUUAAUACCCCGUGAAACUGACGGUACCUGCAGAAUAAGCACCGGCUAACUACGUGCCAGCAGCCGCGGUAAUACGUAGGGUGCAAGCGUUAAUCGGAAUUACUGGGAGUAAAGCGUGCGCAGGCGGUUCGGAAAGAAAGAUGUGAAAUCCCAGAGCUCAACUUUGGAACUGCAUUUUUAACUACCGGGCUAGAGUGUGUCAGAGGGAGGUGGAAUUCCGCGUGUAGCAGUGAAAUGCGUAGAUAUGCGGAGGAACACCGAUGGCGAAGGCAGCCUCCUGGGAUAACACUGACGCUCAUGCACGAAAGCGUGGGGAGCAAACAGG